UUGAACGCUGGCGGCAGGCCUAACACAUGCAAGUCGAGCGGUAGCACAGAGAGCUUGCUCUCGGGUGACGAGCGGCGGACGGGUGAGUAAUGUCUGGGAAACUGCCUGAUGGAGGGGGAUAACUACUGGAAACGGUAGCUAAUACCGCAUAACGUCGCAAGACCAAAGUGGGGGACCUUCGGGCCUCAUGCCAUCAGAUGUGCCCAGAUGGGAUUAGCUGGUAGGUGGGGUAACGGCUCACCUAGGCGACGAUCCCUAGCUGGUCUGAGAGGAUGACCAGCCACACUGGAACUGAGACACGGUCCAGACUCCUACGGGAGGCAGCAGUGGGGAAUAUUGCACAAUGGGCGCAAGCCUGAUGCAGCCAUGCCGCGUGUGUGAAGAAGGCCUUCGGGUUGUAAAGCACUUUCAGCGGGGAGGAAGGCGGUGAGGUUAAUAACCUCAUCGAUUGACGUUACCCGCAGAAGAAGCACCGGCUAACUCCGUGCCAGCAGCCGCGGUAAUACGGAGGGUGCAAGCGUUAAUCGGAAUUACUGGGCGUAAAGCGCACGCAGGCGGUCUGUCAAGUCGGAUGUGAAAUCCCCGGGCUCAACCUGGGAACUGCAUUCGAAACUGGCAGGCUAGAGUCUUGUAGAGGGGGGUAGAAUUCCAGGUGUAGCGGUGAAAUGCGUAGAGAUCUGGAGGAAUACCGGUGGCGAAGGCGGCCCCCUGGACAAAGACUGACGCUCAGGUGCGAAAGCGUGGGGAGCAAACAGGAUUAGAUACCCUGGUAGUCCACGCUGUAAACGAUGUCGAUUUGGAGGUUGUGCCCUUGAGGCGUGGCUUCCGGAGCUAACGCGUUAAAUCGACCGCCUGGGGAGUACGGCCGCAAGGUUAAAACUCAAAUGAAUUGACGGGGGCCCGCACAAGCGGUGGAGCAUGUGGUUUAAUUCGAUGCAACGCGAAGAACCUUACCUGGUCUUGACAUCCACAGAACUUUCCAGAGAUGGAUUGGUGCCUUCGGGAACUGUGAGACAGGUGCUGCAUGGCUGUCGUCAGCUCGUGUUGUGAAAUGUUGGGUUAAGUCCCGCAACGAGCGCAACCCUUAUCCUUUGUUGCCAGCGGUCCGGCCGGGAACUCAAAGGAGACUGCCAGUGAUAAACUGGAGGAAGGUGGGGAUGACGUCAAGUCAUCAUGGCCCUUACGACCAGGGCUACACACGUGCUACAAUGGCAUAUACAAAGAGAAGCGACCUCGCGAGAGCAAGCGGACCUCAUAAAGUAUGUCGUAGUCCGGAUUGGAGUCUGCAACUCGACUCCAUGAAGUCGGAAUCGCUAGUAAUCGUAGAUCAGAAUGCUACGGUGAAUACGUUCCCGGGCCUUGUACACACCGCCCGUCACACCAUGGGAGUGGGUUGCAAAAGAAGUAGGUAGCUUAACCUUCGGGAGGGCGCUUACCACUUUGUGAUUCAUGACUGGGGUG
rnacentral:rRNA from 1 species